rnacentral:lncRNA from 1 species
ACCAGCGGAAGAAAUUCCCUCCAUCUCUCUGUCUCUAGAACCACCUUGAUCUCCAUCUCGAUCCGGAUCUCGAUCUCGAUCUCGAACUCGGUUUUCACUGCGGCAAUCGGCGGAGGAGGAGGCGGCAGCGGCGGAGGAGCGGCGGAGGAGCGGCGGAGGAGCGGCGGCGGAGCGGCGGCGGAGGAGAUGGCGCCGAGAGCGGAGAAGAUCUGUGCGAGGGGAGGGGUGAGGGGAGGAGGAGGAGGAGGAGGCCAUGAGAGCAUGGGGAGCGGAGAGGAUAGGUUCAGAGGAGUGAGGAAGAGGCCGUGGGGGAGGUACGCGGCGGAGAUCAGGGAUCCAGGGAAGAAGAUGCGCGUGUGGCUCGGGACCUUCGACACGGCGGAGGAGGCGGCGAUGGCGUACGACGCGGCGGCGCGGGAGUUCCGUGGGAUGAAGGCGAAGACAAACUUCCCCCUCGCCGGGGGGCUCCCCUGCGUGGCGACGCCGCGGGACGACGGCCACCGGGAGGCGCACCAGAUCGGGAGCCCCGGGAGCCAGAGCAGCACUGUGGAGUCCUCCAGCCGGGAGGCGGCGGCGCCAUUCCAGUCUCCGGACAACAACAACAACAACAACCCCGCCGAUCGGUCUUCCCUAGAUCUGCCGAUGUCCGAUCCGUACCUCCACCGCGGCGGUGGCGCGAAGGCCGGCGCCUGGUUCCCCUUCCGCGCCAUCCCCGCUGUCGCCUACGCCGGCGCUCCGCCUGCGGCGCAUCCGCUUCCCAAGGGAUUCGUCUUCUUCGACGCCUUCUCGCGGUCCGGCAAGGCCGCCACUGCGGAGGCGAUCGCCGCCACGCUGCCGUCGCCAGAUCCGGCCGGGAAGAUCUCCGCAAAGAUCCGCUUCCCAGACGAAUCCGCCGGCCACGACGGCGACCAGAGCGACUCCGAUUCCUCCUCCGUCGUCGAGGACCUGCAGCCGCAGCCACAAGCGUCGCCGCCGCGGAGGCUCCUCCUCGAUCUGGACCUCAAC